rnacentral:lncRNA from 10 species
AGAAAUCAUAAAGGGAAUACUGUUGGAUUAUAACACAUUAAAUUAAAAUCUAACAUGCAGCCUGGUACUCAGUGUUAAUUAAGGAUGUGAAGAAACAAUCUCUUUCAUUCACUGCUUGAGGGAAUGAUAAUCUCACACACUUUCUGGAACGCACUUAUGUUUCAAAAGCUUUACAUUUCAUAUAUACUUUAGAAAUUCGUCUAUAUGUGACAAUGACAGUAGUAUGCAAAAAUGUAUUAACCGCAUCACUGUUUAUGACCAAAAAAGUGAAAGUGAUGUAAAUAUCCAAUUUAGGAGUAGGUGAAAAAGCAGUUAUAAAAUAUUAAUGUGAUGCAAUUCUAUUUUGUUUAAAGAUACUGGUCUCUGUGUGUUUAACUUAUGGGAGGACUAGAAGGAAAAUGUUUUGUUGAACUACAACUUGAGUCCAUAUACCUAGUAGAUCUGUCUGCUAGUUUCCGUUACAUUCUAUAUUCGUUUAUUCAGUAUUCACUCAUUCAUUCUAUAUUUAUUUGUCCGAUAACUCUUGCCCUUCUAGAUGCUAAUAUGUCAUCUGUCACAAUUCCACAGCAAAAGUACUAUGGAAAAAGAUGGGUCUGCUUUAUUCACUGAAAAAUUAAAGAACACUUCAAAAAGGAACUGAUACUUGAGUUUAUUCAUUGUUCAUUCAAGAAAUAUACUUAUUGAGCACUUGCGACAUGCUAGUCACUGUCCUUUGUGCUUGCAACAAAUCAGUGAACCUUAAAAACAAAAACACAACAUACUCCUGUUCUUAUGAUGUAAUCUUGAGAGAUGGUGAUUGUUUCAUCAAACAGAAAAAAAAAAAAAAAGGAUGAGACGGUAUUCCAAGUAGAGAAAGCCACACUUGACUUUAUUUAUUUCACAAUAGUUAUCAAUUUAUUUGUGUGAUUCUCCCACUGGACUCUAAGUUCCUUAAGAAAGGAACUCUGGCUUGUACUGCUGUAUCUCUGAUGCCAAACAUUGUUCCAGACCCAUAAUAGGCACACAGUAAAUAUUUUUGAAUAACUAAUACUAUACUUCAUUCCCUAGAACAGAGUUUCUUGAUGUUGGCAUUAUUGGCAUUUGAGGCCAGAUAAUUAUUUGUUGUGGGUGUCUACCCUGUGCAUUGUAGAAUGUUUAGCUGCAUCACUGGAUGCUAGCAUGCAGCUAGAUGCCAGCAGUACCUCUCCUGCCUGUUAUCAAAACCAAAGAUGUUUCCAGGCAUUUUCAAAUGUCUGUGGGGUCCAGAAUCACCCCUAUCUGUAGAGAAUCACUGUCCUAGCACUGUGAAAUUAAGUGAAAACUAUGGAACAAUUCCAGUGAAUAUAAUGUGGAAAUCGGGAAGAGUAGAAUGAGACUUUCUUUUCAGUUACUUUGAGUCUUUUAUUAGAGGCAUUGUAUUUUAUUUUUUGUCCAAGCACUCUUAAUUCUAUACUGUUUGUUGAUUCAAUUCCUAUACUGACUACCGUGCUUGUGAGAGAUGGGGACAUCACAUGUAAAGAUGAGCGAUGUCUGCAUUUAACCCACCUUGCUGGUCACAUCCCUAGUGGUACUGCAACUUUGUUUUGUUUUCAAAAGAAAGGAGGAAAGACUUUAAGAUGUUGCUUUUAUCAAAUAAAUAAGCUAGUGUUUUUUCAAGAAAUUUUAGACACACUCUAAGACAAAACUCCUAAUGCAGUUUUUUAAUACCUUUUAUAAUGUAGGAUUUUUUAAUACCUAAUAUUUCAUCUUGAAUUGCAAUCCCCAGAUGUUGAGGGAGAGACCUGGUGGGAAGUGACUGCGGUUUUCCCCCUGCUGCUCUCGUGAAGGUCAGUGAAUUCUCGCGAGAUCUGAUGGUUUUAUAAAUGGAAGUUUUUCCUGCCGCUGACACAUGCAUUUCCCUGCUGCUAUGUGAAAUGUGCGUCUUCUCCUUCCGCCAUGAUUGUAAGUUUCCUGAGGCCUCCUCAGCCAUGCGGAACUGUGAGUCAGUUAAACCUCGUUUCUUUAUAAGUUACUCAGUCUCGAGAUGUCUUUAUAGCAGUGUGAGAAUGGACUAAUACAAUAGCUAAAUAAUGCCUUAGAAAUCAAUAUUUAAUUCUUAGUUUUUGAAACUUUACCGCGUAACUUUUUCAUGGAUGCACUAAUCAUGUCUGAUCUCCGUUUUCUCUUCAUUUUGUAAUCUGAAAUGAUUCACAUAUAAAAGAUGCAUAUAUUGUAUAUAUAUCUAUAUGUCAGUGAAAUAAUAAAAUGAAUACCCAUGUAUCCAGAGCCCAGCUUACCAACAUUUGGUAUUGCUUGGCUAUUUUAAUUUUUGCCAUUUUGAAGUGUGUAUAAAGAUAUUUCAUUUAAAAAUUUUUAUUUUCUUUAUUACUGUUGAAAUUGAACAUCUUUCAGUAUACUUUAUCUAUUUAUAUUUUCUCUCUGAAAGCUCUGUUCACAUUUAUUGCACAUUUAAAAAUUUUUUGUGUCUUAAAAAUGAGUAAGAAUUACUUAUAUCUGUAUAUUCUAGUACUAAUCUUCAGGGUUUCAAGUGUGUAUUUGUGUGUCACAAAUAUACUAUUAGAGAUUGUGUCUUCUAUUUUCACUUUCUUUGUGGUAUCUAUUAAUAAAGUUCCUGAUUUUAAUGUAAUCAAACACAUCAAUGUUUGUCAUUUUAAACAAUUAUUGAGAUUUAAAGGAAGGCUUCUUGCCCCAGGGUCAUGAAAAUAUGUUUAUAUUUUUUCUUACAGUGCUUUUGCUCUUACACUUAAGUCUUUAAUCUCAUCUGGCAUUGAUUUUGUACAUGGUGUGAGGUUUAACUUUUUUCCAUUGGCCUACUACUAGCUCAGUGAGGCCUACCCUAAUUACCCAGGGUAAAAUCAUAACUUCUUCACCCACCCUGGGACAUCCCCCUUUACCCUGCUUUAAUUGUCUCUCGAGCACUUCUUGCCACCUGUCACAUUCAUGUUCUAUGUUUCUUGUCCCAGUACCAUUUAUUUGAGUUGCCCCCUCCUUUCCAUACUGACCCCCUUUCCCACCUCAGUCAAACAUCAAGUAUAGAUGCUGUUAUCUGGACUCUGUAUUCUGGCUCAUGAUCCAAAUAUUUCAUUGUUUAUCUCUGUGUAAUCACCACAUUGUCUUAAUAACUGCACUGCUAUAAUGGUCUUAAUAUUAUAGGGCUAGUCCACCACCUCAUUCUGCAGAAGUGACUUGGUUAUUUGUGAUUGUUUAAACUUCUAUCAAAUAUUGGAAAUAGUGUUUCUAGUUCCCUGACAAACCCUGCUAAAAAAUUUUUACUGAAACUCCAUUAAAUCAACUUGGUGACAAUUGUCACAUUUAAUAUAUUCAACCUCCAGCACAGUGAAAAUGGUACCUUUCCCUAAUUAAUUAGGUCUUUUUAAAAAAAUUAUUUAAGCAAAGCUUUAGAAGUUUCUUCAUGAAAGUCUUGUAACUUUUUGUUAGAGUUAUUCAUAGAUUACUUUUAAUAUUUACAUGUGGUAAAUAUUUAUUUUUAAACUAUAUUACCUAUUUGUUGCUAGUGUAUGGAAAUACAAAGGAUUUCUAAUGUUAUAAAAAUAGUAUUAUUAACUAAGUUAUUAAUUCUAAUAAUUAGCCAGAAGAUUCUUUUGAAUUUUGUAUGAGGACAUAACAAUGCAUUCAAGUAAUGAUAAUUUUGUUUCUUACUUUCCAUCUCUAGUAUUGUUUAUUUUCUUCCAUCCUUAGAGUUUGAUCUAAUAAGUUCAGUACCUUAUUGGACAGAAAUGUUGAUGGUGAGCAUCUCAAUCUUGUUCAUGCCAUAUCCUGCAAGUCUUCAUGCAAGUGUCGUCUUCUUAGUGAGGCCUAACCUAUCCCCCAUUUAAAAUUGCAAAUUCCCAAACAUUCUGGGCCUUCCUAGUCCUCUUUAACUGUUUUAUAUUUCUCUGUAGCGAUAUUACCAUCUGACAUAGUCAUAUUUUAUGUGCUGGUUUAUUAUUUAUCUACCACCAUCAUGAGGCAUGGACUGACUUUCUACCUAAGUUAUUUUGAGCAAAUAACUGAAUGAAUAAUGUAUUUUAUACCUUAUACUGCCAAAUUAUUGUUACACAUAGUUUUUCCAUUGAUUCUCUAUGGAUUUCCAAAUGUGCUAUCCUGUCAUCUGUAAAUAAAUAAUGUAAGUUGUUCCUUUCCAAUUUUUAUGUCAUUAAUUGUUACCGCUUAUCUAAGAACAUUGAGUAAUUAGUGCCAUCAACAUAAUGUUAAUGAUUAUAGAGAUAGUGGCCAUCAUUACUCCUGACCUUACUAAGAAUUACUGUGUUUUACUACUAAAUAAAAAUCUGGCUUUACUUUA